GAUUGUGCUCAGAAGGAACCACCUGCUACGGAUCUAUUAGGGUCUUCAGUCAGAGUCUCCUGUGUGAGGGCUACCAGUGUGAGAGGCCAGGAGUUACAAGUCUGAAAAAAAUCAGACACCCAGCGCUGCCCUCCACACCGGGGGCCUGAGGAAACACCUACCAGCGUGAAACAGCACCUGUCGCCCGGGUGCAAGCUCCUGACCUCUUAGUUCCGCUGACUGCACGGGGCUUCUUUGUACAUGUUCAAGUUUAUCCAUCGUCAAUAAACUUUACAGCAGGAUCCAUGAGAGAACAUAUUCUUAAAGAAUCAUCUGUCACUGAUUGUUUUCAGUAGAAUACUAUAAGAAGAAAUAUGGAAGAAAUAUGAUACUCUAUUUUUGUGUCAGCCGGUUGAAAUUUGUUCUGUGAAAAUGGCCAUCAAAUCUGCAACAAAUUCAGCACGUGUAACAUAUAAAUUUUGCGGUGGAAUUUCUUUUGUGGCUUUCACCCAUUGCAAUGACAAGAGUGAAAUUAGCAAUAAACCCAUGACAGAACAGAGCUCUCAAAGAUAUGUACAGCAAGCUCCCUUAUAAUCUGACUGGCUGGCCUUGUUUAACUCUGUACUGCUGUACAAGGAAAUAAAAUAUCAACAUAGAAAAUGUCCUGAAAAAUUUCACAAAAUUUGCAAUUUAAAAAAAAAAAGUUUUCAUUUUCCACCCUCCAGUAUCAAAAACUUGUAUUUAAAUAAAACUUUCAACCCAAGAUAUAUAACUUAUAUAGCGUUAUCACAAAUUUUUCUGGCUUCAGUGUCCUUUUGCGUCAUUCACUCCUGACAGGAAGUUAUGUAGUCCACUCAUUGUCAGUAUGGAGUUGUCUUAGCAGCUUCCGGCUCCUCCAACUCUCCUGACAGGAAGUUAUGUAGUCCUGUUAUUGUCAGGGUGGUGUUGUCUCAGCAGCUCCCCAGCUUCCCCAUCUUUUCCAAGACAACACAUCAUCAACACCACUGCUUUCUCAGUUGGCUUGGCUGGAUCUUGUCGCUAAACUCUAGCCUCACCCGCUGUCAUAUACACAUAUUCAUAUACAUCUUUAAUAGGACAUUUAGGAAGAAUGAGGUGUGUUUACAGCAUGUUGCCUUAUGUUGAAAAAUGCCACAGACAGAGAAGCAGACAGGAAAUGAAUACAGCAGGUGCUGC